CACACCCUCCGCUCCCUUUCUUCGUUGAAGGGCGAGUGGGUCCUGAGCGGGAAGAGCCCCUUGCGGGUUCACUCCCCCUCUAAAGUGGAAUGACAGCGGUCCGCCUGCCCGUGAAAGACGUAGUAAGAUCCAAUCAGAAUCGUCCGCGAAGGGGAAGGUAGAGGCUUGCCUACAAACCCAUCAAUUCUGAAG
rnacentral:misc_RNA from 1 species